UGUUUUUAGAAAUAGGCAGGCUAUAAGUAACGUUUUUAUUCUAGGUACACAAACUCAAGCUUUCUUUUGCUUUUCUUUUUAACACAUAAUCUCUUGGUUGUUUAAUCUUCCAUCAUGUUUCUAGAGUAGGUGGGGAGGAAAAAGAAACAGGGAUGAAAAGCAGUAAGAUUUGGUGAUCACGCAUGAAUUCUAGUUACUAGUGUUAACUGUACACUUAACUAUAAUCUUUUGUUCUUUAAAAUUUUAUAUUAGCCCCAGACUUAAGCUCACCGGUGAAUUUUUUUUUUUUUUUUUUUGAGACGGAGUUUUGCUCUUGUUGCCCAGGCUAGAGUGCAGUGGCACGAUCUCGGCUCACUGCAACCUCUGCCUCCCGGGUUCGAGCGAUUGUCUUGCCUCAGCCUCCCGAGUAGCUGGGAUUACAGGCGCUUGCCACCACGCCCAGCUAAUUUUUUUUUUUUAUUUUUAGUAGAAACGGGGUUUCGCCAUGUUGGGGAGGCUGGUCUCAAACUCCUGACCUCAGGUGAUCUACCUGCCUCGGCUUCCCAAAGUGCUAGGAUUACAGACAUGAGCCACUGUGCCUGGCCAGUGAUUUUUUUUUUUUUUUUUUUAAACACAAGCCUCUGACCCACAGUGAUUCAUGGGGAGAGCUUAGAGAGCUCCAUGCUACUGGUAACUUCCCUUCACUUUGACUAAAGUGACUAACAUCUCUCUACCUGACCUCACUGUCCCAUGCAGAGACCACGUGUUGUUGAUAGAAGAUUGUACCAAAGGAAUAAUUCAUAGAACAACAAGGAAGAAUUAAGCUAACAACAGAUUCCAAAAUGUUAUUCAAGAAAUGAGACAAAGAAUGUCAUCAGUUUCUGCAGGUGUUCCUGUGGAAGUCCUAUGGAAUAGUCAAAUGCCACCCAUCCAUUGAACCCCUACUGAUCCCCAGAAGGAAUCAGAUCUCUUCUCUAGCAUUUCCCUCCUUGUGGAAUUCACCAGCUGACAGAGAGAAUCCCGGGGUUUGUUCUGCCGCCCCAUUUCCGGCGAGGGGCUACAGACAGCCCACAGGCAGACGCUCUGGGUGAAGACAUGCAGGGAGCGCGAUGGACUCAAGAGACACCCCAAGGUGUCCCUUGGUACCUCUGGAAGAGGAAGAAAGGACCUAUGAAUGGACAGUGGUCUCAACGCCUACCUCCAGGGACUCAGACGCCCCCUCUUCCUGCCAAGUCUUCACCAGAACUCUGUAGAUAGAUUCUCUUUGGAAGUCUGAGAGUCUAGGUCAAGGGUUUGGGGUAAAAGGUGUAAAGAAAGGAAAGCAGAUUUUUUGGAUAGCCCAAAAUGUUCUUCUAAUCUAUUUGUUCAAUACUCCGAAAAUCAGCAAUCGAUCUUGCAAUUCAAGGGGGAAAAUAUAAAGAGACCUAUGACGCCAGGUUUGAAAUAACAACAGAGAUCAUGGAAAAAGGAUUCCCCAUAUUAGCAAGAGCGUCAUGCUGCACAGGGCUAAGAGGGUGUGGCCUCAUCCUGUCCUUCCCGGCUGGAAUUGGAAUAAAGCUUCAUGGCUCCACUUCACCAGUUCCUCGGUCACAUAGCCUCUGCCCUAGUCUCAUCAACAGCACAUCGGCCUACAGCUAAGACACACGAGAGGUCACUGCCUCCUCUUUCUCACCAGGCCACAUAGACGCUGCCCUAGUCUCAUCAACAGCACAUCGGCUCACAGCUCAGACACACCAGAGGUCAACGCCUCCUCUUUCUUACCACAGUUGUGAAGUCCUGCAGACUAGCCAGUGCUUUAAGAAGGAGAUGCUGAGGCUCAGAAUUGGGCACUAUAUUAAUGCACUCUAGGGUGGGUGUGAAAGAAGCUCUGGCCUGCCUGGGGCGUCAGGACCUGUGGAGGACCCGUGGAGAAGAGGCGGCAGGGAGACAGGGGACAGACACUGGGCUGGGCGUUAGGGCCCGGGUCCUGGCGCUGCUGAUGGCAUCAUGGCCUCUGCAAGACGGUAGUGGCCACGGAAGCUCUGCCUCACUGUCUCAUUUGUAAAUUGGCUGGGCAAACAGGAUUCACAGCGCCUCCUCCAGCUCCAACACUCAAGAGGCCACAAGUGAGAGCAGAAGCCACAGGCUGCCCUCGGCGGCCCCUGAGCCUCUCUUCCCUUUCCAGCUGCCCAGGCUUCCAAGUCUCCUCUUCAGCUCCUCCUGGAAGAGCUGCCGCUCUCUCUACAUUGUCCUUCCUUACCAUUCUUACCUUUUCUUUAGCUCUGUUCUUUCCUUUCCAUCCCCUAACACUGCAGUCCCUGACCUUUUUGGCACCAGAGACCAGUUUCAUGGAAGACAAUUUUUCCAAGGAUGGUAGGGGCAAGAGGGAUGGUUUUGGUAUGAAACUGUCCCACCUCAGAUGAUCAGGCAUUAGAUUCUCAUAAGACGCGUGCAACCUAGAUCUGUUGCGUGUGCGGUUCACAAUAGGGCUCGCAUUCCUAUGAGAGUCCAGUGCCGCCGCUGAUCUGACAGGAGGCGGAGCUCUCAGGAGGUAACGCUGUCUCACAGGCCACUCACCUACUGCUGCGCAGCCCAGCUCCUAACAGGCCAUGGACCAGUGCCCAUCCACAGCCCAGGGGCUGGGGACACCUGCCCUAACAUAUACCUAUAAAAACUCUUAAAGGGCCAGGCAUGGUGGCUCACGCCUGUAAUCCCAGCACUUUGGGAAGCUGAGGCAGGUGCAUCACCUGAGGUCAGGAGUUUGAGACCAGCCUGACCAACAUGGAGAAACCCCAUCUCUAUAAAAAAUACAAAAUUAGCCGGGUGUGAUGGCAUGUGGCUGUAAUCCUAGCUACUUGGGAGGCUGAGGCAGGAGAACUGCUUGAAUCCGGAAGGUGGAGGUUGCGGUGAGCCGAGAUUGCGCCAUUGCACUCCAGACUAGGCAACAAGAGUGAAACUCCGUCUCAAAAAAAACAAAAACAAAAACAAAAACAAAAACAAAAACAAAAACAAACUUCUUAAGGAAAGCCAAGUAACUAACUGCACUUCAGCUAAGGGUCUCCAUAUAGCGUUGCCCUGUGGAAGCAAGGCUGUUUCAAUAGCCCAAGGCAAACGUACAAGUGCACACAUGUCUUUGUGUGUGUGUGUGGCAUGGGAGGUGGGGCUCAACCCCAACUCACCACUGCCACCAUUACGAGUACCAAAAAACAAACACGACCUACCUUGCUGGCCACCACAAGCUGCACCAUUCCCGUGGCGGAGCGAAGAAUGGCCACUGCUUCCUCGUGGGAGAGCCCGACCAGUAAAUGACCAUUGAUUACCAGCAGCUCAUCUCCUAAGGACAGCCUGCCAUCCCUGAGGAAAGGGAGAUGGGAAAAAGAUCCCUUGUCAAGACAUUCUGGGCCUGAGAAGGGCCAUUUUCUGGAGCUAGGGAGGGUUGUGAGGAGGGACGGUUAAGAUUGGGCUAAAGAGGAUACUGUGAUGGCCAGAGGCAGUUGGGGAUGCGAUUGUUUAUUCAUGUGUCCAGAUUCCCAUCAGAGGAUUCCCUCCAUGAUUUCAGGCAGUGGCUCAGCAAUAUGCACAUUAAGGUCACCGGCCUACCUGGCAUCAAUGUCAGUGAAACUCCCAUCCAGGUGGAGAUGUUGAUAGAGGAACCAAGACCCCAAGGUUUGAGGAGAGUCGAGUCAUUCGUUUCUUAAUCCUCCCUGCCAUCCUGCCCUGAUGACUGAGUCACUGAGCUAAGCUCAGAAACAGCAGAGGUAUCCUAAGCCCACCUGCAUUCCUUACCUAAUGCACUGCACUCCUCUCUUCCCAGGGAUGUGACCCUGACCAGAUGUCCUCUGGGGCACCUGUGAUUCACACUACACUACACGUGUCUCUAUCUCCCAACAGAGUUACAGGUCCCAGAGGGUAAAGUCUCUCACUCUCGGCACCUUGUUUUCUUUUUUUUAAAGUAUGUUUUUUUGUGUGUGUUUGUUUUUGAGACAGAGUCUUGCUCUGUCAUCCAGGCCGGAGUGGAGUGGCACAAUCCUGGCUCACUGCAGCCUGGAACUCCUGGGCUCAAGUGAUCCUCCUGCCUCAGCCUCCUGAGUACCUAGGACUACAAGUGCGUGCCACCAGGCCUGGUUUCUGCUUCUUUUUCAUCCUUGAGUCUCUCCAGCCAAGCUUCAUGUACAGAAGGACGAAUCAAAACAAACAAACAAAAAAAAAAAACAAAUCCCGCCACCCGCCCCCCCCAAAAAAAAGCAAUUAAGAAAGGAAAAGAACAAAUAAACUGCCUAAACUGCUGUCACUGCAGGUAUCAGACCUGGGCUACAAACACGGUGUACACAAACAUUUUCUGUUUCUUUCCCUUAAAUUAAAUUAUGCCUGACUCAACUUUCUUCCCAUUGGGCUGGCAAGAGACUCAGGUGUCAUGGGGACUGCCUCCCCUAGGGAGGGUCAGGGCUUGGCAUGGCACACUGUGCCAGAGCACUGGACAGGCCCCUUCAAUCGUGGUGAGUCAACAGUUCUGUGGAUUCCACCAGAGCCUCCAGUGCUCUGAUCUCCCAGGAUCCCAAAGGAGCCAGACAUGGCUGAAUGUGGGAUAGGAAAGCUGGUGAGGCAGAGGGACCUCGAGCCUCGGAUCCCACCGCAUCCUCUAGACCAAGCUUGGCCAACCUGUGGCCUGCAUGUGGCCCAGGAUGGCUUUGAACAUGGCCCAACACAAAUUGGUAAACUUUCUUAAAACAUGAUGAGAUUUUUUGGUGAUGUUUUUUAAGCUCAUCAGCUAUCGUUAGUGUUAAUGUAGUUUAUGUGUAGCCCAAGACAAUUCUUCCUCUUCCAAUGUGGCCCAGGGAAGCCAAAAGAUUGGACUUCUCUGUUCUAAAGGUUCACAUCAGCACCUAGGGUGCUGCCAUGAAACACAUGCACGCCUCCGACACGCCCAGAAGCUCCGUUUGUCUCCAGUCUCUAGGCUCUCCCCUGGCUUUCUUUCAAUGAAUCAACUGACUUCUCUCUUUCCAUCCUUCCCUCCCCUUUCCUUCCUUCAACAGCUUUUCUCUCACUUUCUGUCUCCUUCCUCUAGGGCAUGUGCCAUUGUCUUUUCUAUGAAUUUGGGCUUUAACAGGAGACAGGAGACACCAGAGAAUUCUGAUAGUCUCUGUUUCUGUCCUUCAAAAAUUCCUGAAGCAGAGAAAUGCUAAGGGCCCCACUAGUUGUUUGGAAUGGUGGGAGAAGGGGAAUGGGAAGACCACAGAAGAAACAAGCUGGAAUCUCAGGAGCUGUGUGGGUGGGCCACUCAGGAGCUGUUUCCUAUGGGAGGAGAGGGAUUGAGGAAUCAAGAACACAAUGGUUCAGACCAGUGUCCUGGGCUUACUAAUUCAGAAUGCCAUCAAGACCAUCUCCAUCCCUUGGGAGGCUGAGAUGGAUGGAUCACGAGGUCAGGAGUUCAAGACCAGCCUGGCCAACACAGUGAAACCCCGUCUCUACUAAAAAUACAAAAAUUAGCCGGGUAUGGUGGCAAGCGCCUGUAGUCCCAGCUACUUGGGAGGUGGAGGCAGAAAAAUCACUUGAACCUGGGAGGCGGAGGUUGUGGUGAGCCGAGAUCGCGCCACUGCACUUCAGCCUAGGCAACAGAGCGAGACUUCACCUCAAAAAAGAAAAAAAGACCAUCCCCACUCCCUUUUCCUAUUUCCCUCUUUCAUUUCUCUCAUCUCCUGUUACUAACUAAAAUGCCCCGCUUGUGAAUCGUAUAGCCCAGAGGCUCAAAGAGACACACACACACAACUCCAGGCUAAGAAUGAAAUGAAAAGGAUGAGACCCAAUAGAAAUGGCUCAGAUGGAAAAUAGACAAGAACAGUUCUUUGUAAGUUUAUCUCUGGGCACAGGAAUUUCCUAAUGGCCAACUUGUUAAAGGAAGACUAGAACUUAAGACCUAUGAUUAAUGGGAAACUGUCUAUCUGACAGGAGCUCCUCAAAACAUAUGUCAUUUUGGAAGUUAAGUAAUGCUCUUUGGAGUAAAAACCACCUAAGGUCUUAAUCCUUCAAUAAUUACUACCACCCAGACAACUAACAAUUGCAGUUAAUCUUAUCUCUACUUUAGUGAUUAGCAUCCUAUUCUGUAAUAAAAGA
rnacentral:lncRNA from 10 species